GAUGAACGCUAGCGGGAGGCCUAACACAUGCAAGCCGAGCGGUAUUUGUCUUUCGGGACAGAGAGAGCGGCGUACGGGUGCGGAACACGUGUGCAACCUGCCUUUGUCUGGGGGAUAGCCUUUCGAAAGGAAGAUUAAUACCCCAUAAUAUAUUGAUUCGCAUGGAUUGAUAUUGAAAACUCCGGUGGAUAGAGAUGGGCACGCGAAAGCUUAGAUAGUUGGUGAGGUAACGGCUCACCAAGUCAGUGAUCUUUAGGGGGCCUGAGAGGGUGAUCCCCCACACUGGUACUGAGACACGGACCAGACUCCUACGGGAGGCAGCAGUGAGGAAUAUUGGACAAUGGGUGAAAGCCUGAUCCAGCCAUCCCGCGUGAAGGACGACGGUUCUAUGAAUUGUAAACUUCUUUUAUAUAGGGAUAAACCUACUUACGUGUAAGUAGCUGAAGGUACUAUAUGAAUAAGCACCGGCUAACUCCGUGCCAGCCGCCGCGGUAA
rnacentral:rRNA from 1 species